rnacentral:lncRNA from 1 species
CGGAGAAGAACUUUUAUCUGCCUCCAAUCUCCAUCAAGGUUUGAUAUUAUGUUAAUGAUCUCAGCAGUAGACAGAUUGUGAUGAAUUGGUUGCUGAUUAUGUUGAGAUAAAGUUUUUUGAGGAACUACCUCUAGUUGCUACUCUGUGAUACAUUAAAGUGGAGGUGAAACUGCUUCUGACACGCCUCUAGGGGAACACAGUGAA